rnacentral:miRNA from 1 species
GGCGGCGGAGGGAGGAGGAGGCGGU